rnacentral:rRNA from 1 species
GAUGAACGCUGGCGGCGUGCCUAAUACAUGCAAGUCGAGCGAACAGACGAGGAGCUUGCUCCUCUGACGUUAGCGGCGGACGGGUGAGUAACACGUGGAUAACCUACCUAUAAGACUGGGAUAACUUCGGGAAACCGGAGCUAAUACCGGAUAAUAUAUUGAACCGCAUGGUUCAAUAGUGAAAGACGGUUUUGCUGUCACUUAUAGAUGGAUCCGCGCCGCAUUAGCUAGUUGGUAAGGUAACGGCUUACCAAGGCAACGAUGCGUAGCCGACCUGAGAGGGUGAUCGGCCGCACUGGAACUGAGACACGGUCCAGACUCCUACGGGAGGCAGCAGUAGGGAAUCUUCCGCAAUGGGCGAAAGCCUGACGGAGCAACGCCGCGUGAGUGAUGAAGGUCUUCGGAUCGUAAAACCCUGUUAUUAGGGAAGAACAAAUGUGUAAGUAACCAUGCACGUCUUGACGGUACCUAAUCAGAAAGCCACGGCUAACUACGUG